rnacentral:rRNA from 1 species
UAGAAUACCCUGGUAGUCCACGCUGUAAACGAUGUCGAUUUGGGGGUUGAGCUUUGAGCUUGGCGCCCGUAGCUAACGUGAUAAAUCGACCGCCUGGGGAGUACGGCCGCAAGGUUAAAACUCAAAUGAAUUGACGGGGGCCCGCACAAGCGGUGGAGCAUGUGGUUUAAUUCGAUGCAACGCGAAGAACCUUACCUAUCUUGACAUCCAGAGAACUUUCCAGAGAUGGAUUGGUGCCUUCGGGAACUCU